rnacentral:rRNA from 1 species
UACGUAGGGGGCAAGCGUUAUCCGGAAUCACUGGGUGUAAAGGGUGCGUAGGCGGUUAUGUAAGUCAGAUGUGAAAUACCGAAGCUCAACUUCGGGGCUGCAUUUGAAACUGUGUGACUAGAGUACAGGAGAGGUAAGUGGAAUUCCUAGUGUAGCGGUGAAAUGCGUAGAUAUUAGGAAGAACACCAGUGGCGAAGGCGACUUACUGGACUGAAACUGACGCUGAGGCACGAAAGCGUGGGGAGCAAACAGGAUUAGAUACC